rnacentral:lncRNA from 1 species
UGAGUAUUCUUUAAGGCCAGACAGAAUCUUGGGAAGGUUGCCAGUUGGAAUUCUGGGUAGCUGGAGUCAAUUGGUUUUCCAACUGUCAACAGACUCCUGGAGGUUUUUUCCCUAGGAGGAGACUGUUUCUGUUCCCUGGAACACUGAAAAAAUCCAGUGGCAGGUGAAGGAGGAGAACAGUUUAUUCUUAUAGAUGAACAACUGAAGCAAACCACAUUAAGUGACCAGCCCCUGUGUCACACAGCCAUUGUCUGAGGCUAGAUUCGAACUCAUGUAGAUGACUCUCUCUGACACUCAGGGAGUUUAAGUGACUGCAAUCCAGUGACAAGGGCUUCCUUGUCAUUCCUCUCACAAGACAUUUCAUUUCUCAUCUGAGUAUUUUCACUGGCUGUCCCCCAUGCCUGAACUCUCUUCCUCCUCAACUGCAUCUUCUGGCUCAGACAGAAGGGGGACUCCUGGAGUAGACACCCCUCCAACCUCCCCAACAGGUACAAGGCCUGUUUGUUGCCCGCAACCUGGUUUAACCCCCCUGCCAAGAUGGUUUGCAAGGAUGUGACCACUGCACAGGCUAAAGCUUCUUGGAGUCAUAGGCUCUAUUCUAGGCUGGAGACACAAAGACUGAGUGAAGCUGUCUCAACUUCAAGAAACUUUCAUUCCAAGAAGAUUACGCAGAUAAUUAGAUAUAAUAUAAUUUGAGAAAGGAGAGAGAGUACUAAAUACCGAGGAGAUCAGGCAAUUUUCCUGUAGGAAAGAGGAUCAGAAUUCUUUGGUCUCAAGGGUCCUCAACUUUUGUUGUUGUGUCAUGGCAUCUUUGACAAACUGGUAAAUCCUAUGAAUCUCUUGUUAGGAUCAUGUUUUCAAAUGUCUAAAAUAAAACCAAUCCUACUGAAAUACA